UAGAGAAGGUUUGCCAGUGGGAUUUCUAUGGUUGAUGCGGCGAAUGAAAUCCCGGGGCACUGUCUCCGCCCUGCCCCAAAGGGGGUGAAUUCAAAGGAUGUCCCGUUGUAAUCAAUUUUUUUGUUCUCAAACCUCUCAGCCCAUAAUUGUACAAUCCUCUCUGGCGGCGCUGUGGACAAGAGGAGAGGGUGGAUGCAACCUAAGAGACUCCUUAAUGACCAUCCGCAUGUAUUGGAGUUCACCAAGAUCGCUGUUAGUAAUGAUAGCUCGGUCUUGACCUAGCACAUCUCGGAUCUCUAGCUGUGCUUUGGCCAUGGCUUCAGGAUGGCGAACGAGCUCCGACAUAGCCCACUCCAAAACUGUUCCCGAGGUCUCGGUGCCACCUCCAAACAUGUCCUGGAAACAGUGAUUGUGGUAUGUAAUUAGAGAUUAUUGUAUGUUUAUUUAGUAGUAGCAAGCAAGGAAAAUUACUGAAACAUAUUUUGUCUACUUAUACCCAUCAAUAUAUAUAAGAAUCUACAACUUGCCGCUUGGUUUUA